rnacentral:lncRNA from 1 species
ACACCCCUGAUUUGAAACAAGACUAGGAUACAUGGUAAAGAAUGUUUAUUCACUAAAGUUUUGACAGACUGAAGGCCAUUAUUUCAGAUUGGAGAUAGGAAACUUAAAAGAACUACAUGGACAUUGGGUAAAAGAACAUGGGUUGAAAUUUGCCUGGCAGUAGCCCAAAAGUAAAUGGUCUUCGAGGUGCAUGUGAAGGAACUGUAGGAGGGAAAUGGGAUAAUUCACAUCUCCACCAAUAAUUACAUGUAGCCACACUAGCUUGGGGGAUUUGAGGUGAGACAUCUAAAAUACUAAGUCAUGGUGAGGGCUGGAAGACAAAAGAAUGAAUCACUUCAUAGGAAUGGCUGUGGGGAAGGGCUUGAAGGAAUCAUCCUCUGACUUCCAUGUGAACCAUGAACAUUAAACAUGGAGAAAUGAGGAGCGGCGGCAGAUCGGUUUGGGAUGCAUCUUCAGGGGAUGCUGAAACAACAACAGCAUUUGGUUUCCUCUACAUCCCUGUCACCCCUCCCCCACAAGCCCAGGGAUUGGUCAGCAGUGGUGCUUCGUGAUGUCAAAGCCACCCUAGGACUGCCAUUGGCUGGGACACUGCCUGUAUGAUCAAACAAAGCUCAAGGGUGUGGCUUUGCCUUGUCACCAGGAGGGUAUAUAUAGGGAGGGCAAGAGCUCUGGGACAUCCUCCUGGGAAGCUUCAAUACAGCUGUGCAAGUCUGGAGUCUACAAGAGCCUACUAUAGACAUUCUACAACCAACCAGAAUCAUGGAACAGCCCACUUCAAGCAUCAAUGGGGAGAAGAGGAAGAGCCCCUGUGAAUCCAACAAUGAAAAUGAUGAGAUGCAGGAGACACCAAACAGGGACUUAGCCCCCGAACCGAGUUUGAAAAAGAUGAAAACGUCAGAAUAUUCAACAGUAUUAGCGUUUUGCUACAGGAAAGCUAAGAAAAUACAUUCAAAUCAACUGGAGAAUGACCAGUCCUGAGAGAACUCCAUCAAUCCAGUCCAAGAGGAGGAGGACGAAGGCCUAGACUCAGCUGAAGGAUCUUCAAAGCAGGAUGAAGACCUAGACUUACCUGAAGGCCUAGACUCAGCUGAAGGAUCUUCAAAGCAGGAUGAAGACCUAGACUUACCUGAAGGAUCUUCAAAGCAGAAUGAAGACCUAGGCUUACCUGAAGGAUCUUCAAAGCAGGAUGAAGACCUAGACUUACCUGAAGGAUCUUCACAGGAGGAUAAAGACGUAGAAUUACCUGAAGGAUCUUCACAGGAGGAUGAAGACCUAG